GAUGAACGCUGGCGGCAUGCCUAAUACAUGCAAGUCGAACGAUAGCGAACGAGGUGCUUGCACCCUGUUCAAUGUCGUGGCGAAUGGGUGAGUAACACGUGAGAAACCUGCCCUCUAGACUGGGAUAACUUCUGGAAACGGAUGAUAAUACCGGAUGUCAUCAACUGAUCGCAUGAUCGGUUGAAAAAAGCUUAGAUGCACUAGAGGAUGGUCUCGCGGCGUAUUAGCUAGUUGGUGAGAUAGUAGCUCACCAAGGCGACGAUACGUAGCCGACCUGAGAGGGUGACCGGCCACACUGGGACUGAGACACGGCCCAGACUCCUACGGGAGGCAGCAGUAGGGAAUCAUCGGCAAGUGGGGGAAACCCUGACCGUGCAAUGCCGCGUGAGUGAAGAAGGCCUUAGUGGGUUGUAAAGCUCUGUUGCGAAGGAAGAACAAUCUAGAAUAGAAUCUAGAUCUGACGGUACUUCGCCA
rnacentral:rRNA from 1 species